CUGGCGAUAUUUGAUGCCUUUUUCUUCCGCCAUUUUGUCUCUGAAAAAUGUCUUUAUUUUUUUUCGCGUUGAUGUUGGAGAAUUGUCUCUAAGAGAGCGAUUGGGAUGAUACUUUAAACUGUUUAAUUCAUCUCGGCAAGGAGAAUGAAAAACAAUGCCACGAAUAGAAGAGGAACGAACGCAGGAAGGGAUACACUGAGGUCCUCUUCACACUCAAUUUUUACUACAAGUGAAUUUCUAAUUGGCAGCCAGUGCUUGGCAGCAGUGAAGAGAAUAUUAUGUGCAAUUGUGAGGGGGUGCAAGAAACAGGAUUAUGAAGAACAAGGGAAUUGAUCAGAGGGUUCAAUGAUUUAAAGGCAUUAUAAUUUUUUGCUUCGAUUUCAGAUAAGUCGAAUAGUUUUAAAUCUAAAAUAUUAGAAUUAGGGGAAGGAAAGUAUCCACAACAACUUUGACAGUAUGAUCUGUGCAAUUAGAUAUUAAUGCAAUGAAUUUGGAUUAGGUUAGAAAAAAUUGAGAGACUGCUUACCUUACAGAACUUGCUACUGGCUCUGCUAGGUAUUCUGACAUAAAAACAAAUCAAAACAAAUAGAAACAAUCAGGAUUCAUUUCAAAGAAUGUUAGUUGUUAUGGUGGAUUGUGUUUCUUUUUCAAAGAACUUGCAUGCCCAAAUGGAUUUGAUGGCUCCAGUGAGAAAUUUGUUCACAAUCUUUUUGUUCAUCUGAAACAACAAAAUGUCUCAAAAUGGUCCUUUCAGCGGAAUGUGCAUAAUUUUGUUGAUGUCUGGGUGAAAUUGAGACUCACCCAAAAUUUUAUUUUUCAGAGGACUAAUCUACUGGAUGUAAUUUUUUAAAAUAUAAUGAUAAAAAGAUAUCAGAUUUUUGAGAAAAGAAAAGCUUACAAAUGGCAACAACUUUCCACUUAAAAGUAUUAUUUAAGGUUACAUUAACAUUAGAGCUCAUUGAUAACAAGUAAUAAAGUGGCUCUUUAAUUAAAACACUUCAUUUAUGAAUUGGUUCUUAUAAACUGCCUUGGAAAUUUUUUCUCAGGCUAGUUAAAAUAACUUUCAGGCUAGUACAUGAUUACAUUAUAAUUUUAAUAAUUCAAAAACCAUUUACGUUAGUCAUAUCUAUUUUUUGUUAUUUUGUGUUACAAGUUCAUCAGUUACAACUUAAUUGUAUACACUUAAUAAAUGGACUUGGUUGUGUUUGGUCAUUUGGCAAUUGAAUUAAUUAAGGUAAUUCAAUUACAAUGCUUAUCAAUAAGUUGUAUGAAAAGUUCUGUGAAGCUUAGAAAACUGUGAACACCAGAAAUUAAGGCCCAAAAUAAUUUCUCACCUGGUACCUGUCAUGUUGUCCGGUCAAUCCUAUUUUUGCUCAGGCACAAUCCAUUUUUAGCCAGACAAGUAUCCAUUACAUUAUAUCUCAUAAAACUCCCCCCCCCCUCCCCCAGCUUAGAGAACAAGUAUAUAUACUGGAAGUACCACUCUUUUAUAGUACAUGCAAUCUCAAAUUUAAUACAAUAAAAGUGAUACAGCUGUAUUUCAGACCUAAGCUUAGUUUGUAAUUGAGUUCUUCUCUGCACACAUAAAAAAGACAGACAACAUGUCUGACCAUCCAAGGAGUUGGCCAGACAUAAACCUAUCUUUGACCAGACAUUGACCAUUGACUGAUCAUCAUUUUGAGUCAUGACAAGUAUUGGUGGAGUGUUGAUUUUUUUAGGAAAAAAAGCAAAUCAUAAAACUAAACCACAAAUGGCAACAAUGAUUAGCUUGUAAGUUUGAGGUUUGCUUGCUCAUCCUAAAUUUUAUAUUGAUUGGUAAGUACACAAUUGACUUGCCACAAUCAGUUAAAAGUGUUCAUGGCCUUUUGAUUUUCACAAUAAAAAGCUUUUCAAUAAGCUGUAUGCACAACUGAGUAAAUGCAAACUAUUGAAAAGUACUCAGCAAUUGUCUUGAAAGCAUGAAAUCCAUGUUUGCUACAUGGGAGUAUAAGACUGGGUGAGUAUUGCUGACCCAAUUUCCUCUAUUUUCAUGUCAGUUACUAACAAAUGUGAAAGACAUAGACAAACCAAAGAAGAGAUGGAGAGCAGUUUAUGAGAUUUACUGUUCUUACUGCCAAGGCUCUAUAUUGGAGAGACUGGCGAAAACCUCACAACUAGACUGACUGGACACAAGCGGAUGACAAGGAAAGGUGAUUUCAACUUUCUGACAGCAUUGACUUAUGAACCACACUAUUGACUGGGACUAUGCACAAUGCCUUACCUACAGCACUAACUACUUUUAAUGACUGAUUCUGGAAAGCUGAUUCACUAACUUAGAACAGACUCACCUAAACAGGUGUCAACUACUACCAGCACCAUACAACCUGUUUAUUCACAAUGUUAACAUUACAAACGAACCAAAUGGACAACCUAACUUUAUACCAUGCGAUUGAAACCAACCAAUCAUGACCAACUUACAGCACUUGAGUCUUACAGCCAACAAGAUAACAGCAAAACUGACCAAUCAGUUUAUACAAACCAGAUCUAGAACAUUUGUCCGACAACAAUUAUUCACAUGACUCUGAUGAUGACAUCGGCUCAGGUUGUCAAAAUUUCAGACACCAUUACCAACAGCAGUCCUUCUCAGGACUACACUCACCUAGACAACCAGACUACACUAUCACACUAAUUAUUCUUGACAAUUCCCUCACCUUCCUAUUGCCAAAAGUUUUACAUUUUUGUCUAAUUGUCCCAUUACAAAAUUGAAUCCAAUCGCAGAUUCUAACUAAUUCUAAUUGUAAGUUAACUGUUAACUAAAAACUUGGCUUCAAAUGUUAUGGUAAUGUGUUUCCAUUAAUUAAACCUCUUCAGCUUUAUUCUUCUGUAUAUUUUUCUUUGUCUGGAAAAGGUCUGUGUUGUUUCAAUCUGUUGUAUGGUUUUGUAUUCUUAUUUUUUCAGUUUUAAUCUGCCAAUGUUUUUAAAAAAUAAGAUUCAUCGGCCACAUUGGCAUUUAACAGACCCAGAUGAACAAGAAUGUGAUACUUAUUCUAUAUUUAUUUUGUCUCUUUUCUCAAUUUUGUCUUUCACAGGAGCUACUAAAGAAAAAGACAGCUUCACGAGAAGUGAAAUAAUAUCAGGCAGUCCUUGAACCAAAAGUGCUUUGACUCUAGGAGGAAAAUAUCAAAAGUGGAGAUCAGCAAGAAUGAAAAUGGCUGACUCUUAGAUUUUCAACACACAAGAAUACCUUAAUUUUAUAACUUUGUUCAGAUGUAUUUCUUUCUUUGGGUUAAAAAAAUUUUGGUCACUGA
rnacentral:lncRNA from 1 species